rnacentral:rRNA from 1 species
UACGAAGGGGGCUAGCGUUGUUCGGAAUUACUGGGCGUAAAGCGUGCGCAGGCGGCUUCUCAAGUCUGGGGUGAAAGCCCAGAGCUCAACUCUGGAAUUGCCUUUGAGACUGAGUGGCUUGAGUACGAGAGAGGUGAGUGGAAUUCCCAGUGUAGAGGUGAAAUUCGUAGAUAUUGGGAAGAACACCGGUGGCGAAGGCGGCUCACUGGCUCGUAACUGACGCUCAUGCACGAAAGCGUGGGGAGCAAACAGG